rfam:Ancylostoma duodenale strain Zhejiang A_duodenale-1.0_Cont24225.1, whole genome shotgun sequence.
UCCUCGGUAGUAUAGUGGUGAGUAUUCGCGUCUGUCACAUGCGAGACCCGGCUUCAAUUCCCGGCCGGGGAG